rnacentral:rRNA from 1 species
GACGAACGCUGGCGGCGUGCUUAACACAUGCAAGUCGAGCGGAGCGGUGAACGGGUGAGUAACGCGUGAGUAACUGCCCCCCUCUCUGGGUUAACAGUUGGAAACGGCUGCUAAUACCGGCUAGUGGGGGAUGGCUCGCGUCCUAUGAGCUUGUUGGUUGGGUAGUGGCCUACCAAGGCGACGACGGGUAGCCGGCCUGGGCGGGCGACCGGCCACAUGGGGCUAAGAGAGGGACCAGACUCCAACGGGAGGCAACAGUGGGGAAUAUUGCACAGUGGGGGAAACCCUGAUGCGGCAACGCCGCGGGCGGGAUGACGGGCUUCGAGUUGUAAACCGCUUUCAGCGAUGACGCGGUAGUGGCAGAAGAAGCACCGGCUAACUACGUGCCAGCAGCCGCGGUAAUAC